ensembl:snRNA U6 U6 spliceosomal RNA
GUGUUUGUUUAGGAAGCACAUAUACUAAAAUUGGAAAGAUAUAGAGAAGAUUAACAUGGCCCCUGCACAAGGAUGAUAUGCAAAUUUGUGAAGCAUUCCAUAUUUUU